rnacentral:hammerhead_ribozyme from 1 species
CAACUGCUGACGAGUCCCAGAACGAAACAGAACAAAACAGCUGUCCAGUGC